GGUUAAGCGACUAAGCGUACACGGUGGAUGCCCUGGCAGUCAGAGGCGAUGAAGGACGUGCUAAUCUGCGAUAAGCGCCGGUAAGGUGAUAUGAACCGUUAUAACCGGCGAUUUCCGAAUGGGGAAACCCAGUGUGAUUCGUCACACUAUCAUUAACUGAAUCCAUAGGUUAAUGAGGCGAACCGGGGGAACUGAAACAUCUAAGUACCCCGAGGAAAAGAAAUCAACCGAGAUUCCCCCAGUAGCGGCGAGCGAACGGGGAGGAGCCCAGAGCCUGAAUCAGCAUGUGUGUUAGUGGAAGCGUCUGGAAAGGCGCGCGAUACAGGGUGACAGCCCCGUACACAAAAGCGCAUGUGCUGUGAGCUCGAUGAGUAGGGCGGGACACGUGGUAUCCUGUCUGAAUAUGGGGGGACCAUCCUCCAAGGCUAAAUACUCCUGACUGACCGAUAGUGAACCAGUACCGUGAGGGAAAGGCGAAAAGAACCCCGGCGAGGGGAGUGAAAAAGAACCUGAAACCGUGUACGUACAAGCAGUGGGAGCACAGGUUUACCUGUGUGACUGCGUACCUUUUGUAUAAUGGGUCAGCGACUUAUAUUCUGUAGCAAGGUUAACCGCAUAGGGGAGCCGGAGGGAAACCGAGUCUUAAUUGGGCGUUAAGUUGCAGGGUAUAGACCCGAAACCCGGUGAUCUAGCCAUGGGCAGGUUGAAGGUUGGGUAACACUAACUGGAGGACCGAACCGACUAAUGUUGAAAAAUUAGCGGAUGACCUGUGGCUGGGGGUGAAAGGCCAAUCAAACCGGGAGAUAGCUGGUUCUCCCCGAAAGCUAUUUAGGUAGCGCCUCGUGAAUUCAUCUCCGGGGGUAGAGCACUGUUUCGGCUAGGGGGCCAUCCCGGCUUACCAACCCGAUGCAAACUGCGAAUACCGGAGAAUGUUAUCACGGGAGACACACGGCGGGUGCUAACGUCCGUCGUGAAGAGGGAAACAACCCAGACCGCCAGCUAAGGUCCCAAAGUCAUGGUUAAGUGGGAAACGAUGUGGGAAGGCCCAGACAGCCAGGAUGUUGGCUUAGAAGCAGCCAUCAUUUAAAGAAAGCGUAAUAGCUCACUGGUCGAGUCGGCCUGCGCGGAAGAUGUAACGGGGCUAAACCAUGCACCGAAGCUGCGGCAGCGACACUGUGUGUUGUUGGGUAGGGGAGCGUUCUGUAAGCCUGCGAAGGUGGCCUGUGAGGGUUGCUGGAGGUAUCAGAAGUGCGAAUGCUGACAUAAGUAACGAUAAAGCGGGUGAAAAGCCCGCUCGCCGGAAGACCAAGGGUUCCUGUCCAACGUUAAUCGGGGCAGGGUGAGUCGACCCCUAAGGCGAGGCCGAAAGGCGUAGUCGAUGGGAAACGGGUUAAUAUUCCCGUACUUGGUGUUACUGCGAAGGGGGGACGGAGAAGGCUAUGUUGGCCGGGCGACGGUUGUCCCGGUUUAAGCGUGUAGGCUGGUUUUCCAGGCAAAUCCGGAAAAUCAAGGCUGAGGCGUGACGACGAGGCACUACGGUGCUGAAGCAACAAAUGCCCUGCUUCCAGGAAAAGCCUCUAAGCAUCAGGUAACAUCAAAUCGUACCCCAAACCGACACAGGUGGUCAGGUAGAGAAUACCAAGGCGCUUGAGAGAACUCGGGUGAAGGAACUAGGCAAAAUGGUGCCGUAACUUCGGGAGAAGGCACGCUGACACGUAGGUGAAGUGAUUUACUCAUGGAGCUGAAGUCAGUCGAAGAUACCAGCUGGCUGCAACUGUUUAUUAAAAACACAGCACUGUGCAAACACGAAAGUGGACGUAUACGGUGUGACGCCUGCCCGGUGCCGGAAGGUUAAUUGAUGGGGUCAGCGCAAGCGAAGCUCCUGAUCGAAGCCCCGGUAAACGGCGGCCGUAACUAUAACGGUCCUAAGGUAGCGAAAUUCCUUGUCGGGUAAGUUCCGACCUGCACGAAUGGCGUAAUGAUGGCCAGGCUGUCUCCACCCGAGACUCAGUGAAAUUGAACUCGCUGUGAAGAUGCAGUGUACCCGCGGCAAGACGGAAAGACCCCGUGAACCUUUACUAUAGCUUGACACUGAACAUUGAGCCUUGAUGUGUAGGAUAGGUGGGAGGCUUUGAAGUGUGGACGCCAGUCUGCAUGGAGCCGACCUUGAAAUACCACCCUUUAAUGUUUGAUGUUCUAACGUGGACCCGUAAUCCGGGUUGCGGACAGUGUCUGGUGGGUAGUUUGACUGGGGCGGUCUCCUCCUAAAGAGUAACGGAGGAGCACGAAGGUUGGCUAAUCCUGGUCGGACAUCAGGAGGUUAGUGCAAUGGCAUAAGCCAGCUUGACUGCGAGCGUGACGGCGCGAGCAGGUGCGAAAGCAGGUCAUAGUGAUCCGGUGGUUCUGAAUGGAAGGGCCAUCGCUCAACGGAUAAAAGGUACUCCGGGGAUAACAGGCUGAUACCGCCCAAGAGUUCAUAUCGACGGCGGUGUUUGGCACCUCGAUGUCGGCUCAUCACAUCCUGGGGCUGAAGUAGGUCCCAAGGGUAUGGCUGUUCGCCAUUUAAAGUGGUACGCGAGCUGGGUUUAGAACGUCGUGAGACAGUUCGGUCCCUAUCUGCCGUGGGCGCUGGAGAACUGAGGGGGGCUGCUCCUAGUACGAGAGGACCGGAGUGGACGCAUCACUGGUGUUCGGGUUGUCAUGCCAAUGGCACUGCCCGGUAGCUAAAUGCGGAAGAGAUAAGUGCUGAAAGCAUCUAAGCACGAAACUUGCCCCGAGAUGAGUUCUCCCUGAGACUUAGAGUCUCCUGAAGGAACGUUGAAGACGACGACGUUGAUAGGCCGGGUGUGUAAGCGCAGCGAUGCGUUGAGCUAACCGGUACUAAUGAACCGUGAGGCUUAACCUU
rnacentral:rRNA from 1 species